UUGUCCAGGUACCCUGAACAUGCUCCAGCCAAAAUGAUUUCAUGCCAUCCCUGACUCUUGUGAUUCCUCCCAGGUCCACUGCCAUCACCUAAGGAGACCUGAUUCCUCAUUGAGUGUACAUAUGCCUGUUUUCCACACAGCUUUUCCCAACAUCCAGGCAAAAUUUCAUCCCCCCACCACCUGACCAUUCAUGCAGCAUUACUGAGGCACUGCCCUUUGACAACACUUACUGUACCAUCUGGAUUGGUGUAGGGAAUACAUUUACUAUUAAAUUAUAAGAUUUUUUGAAAUAGGGAUUAAUUAUAUUUCACCUCAUCAUGAAAACAUCUUACAAAAGAUAUGAAUGAUGAGUGCUAGUAAUUUUUUGGAUUUUCUGAUUGGUGUCUGUAAACCAAAGAAAGAAUCAACCUAUAAAGUAAUCACAUAUGACACUCCUAUGUCUUUUUUUGAAGAAUUUUGAUUAGAUCAUUUGGCCUGAAUCUUCCCAAAUAAAUCCUGGCACACUGACAAGACUCUGAGUUCCCUGAGACAUAAGAGCAAUGUAGUCACUGGUGCAGUCAAUGAUAUGUAUAAAAAUGGCACUGCAAGAACGACAAGAGGUCAGCUUCUGCCAAGAAGACCUCAGCAAGUGAACAAUGAGAUGAAUCUAUGUACGAGACGACCCAACAGAACUAAGAUCAGAUUUGAGUCUAACAUUGUAUUACUCGUUCUUCUUAAAAUGUCAGGUGAAUCUCAGUCUGAAUCUCUGAAAUCACGUUAUCAGGCAGACAUGUACCAUCACAGCUAAUUAGUUCAACUGAAACUAACAGCAUGGAGUGUGUGGGAAAUCUCUAAGUCAUCCCAUUUGUACCAAGGUCUACCUUGGGUGACUAAUAAAAAUCACUUAAAGAAGUACCUUGCAAACCUAAGGGGGUGACAGAAGGUUAAAAUGAUAACAUUUUCUUCGAGGACAGCUGCUUUACAGUGCUCCUUGAAAAUUUAAUAGAUUCAAUAAGAGACCUCAUCUUUUGAUUUUUAUAGUGCAAGGUCACAGGCCUUUGGACCCUUGAAAAUAUAAACAGGUACCUCCAAAACCAGCUAUUUCAGAAGGUAUAUAAGAAAUACAGGAGGCAUCCAUUCAUCUCUCAAGGAGAGAAGUUUUGUCCAUCCUCUGCAGUUAGUUUUAUGCUAUCUUACCAGCAUAUAACUUGGAUAAUGCUUACUUUAUAAUAAACUGUGUCUUCUCUCUCUCAUAUAUAAUUCUACAGAGGGGUUUUUUGUUUGUAUGAGUGUUAUUUCCCCAAUAGUACCCACCCAUGGAAGAUAGAUGGAUCAUAGAAGCACUUACCUAAUAGCAUAGUGGCUUCAUCAUGUGCAUUUCUUUACCACUGAAAGCACAAUGUCUAAGAUGUAUGAGGUUCCCAUUGAUCUAGACAAUUUAAACCAAACAUCAAAAAUUUAGAGGGAAAAAAGCAGAAGGAGGAGAGAAGGAAAAGGAUGAGAAGCAGUAAGUGAGUGAGAGAGGAAAAACAGGAAGAGAAGGGAAGAAAGCACAAAGAAAAGGAAGGUGCUAUAAAGAGACUAGUUACUAGCAGCAAGACUGCUUUAACAGCAUGAAAAAAGCAGUUCAGUUUCCAAGCUAAUGUCUCAUACAGCUCAUCUGUAUGGGAUCAUGAUAACUGAAAUAUCAAAUCUAUAUGCAAAGGCAUUAAAUUUAUAAGUUAAUCAGGUAAGAUAGUUGAUUGACCUUCAUCUAUGUAUUACAGGGGGAAAUGUUAAUAACCAGGGGAAGUAAUCUAUCUUAUUUGUAACACAUUAACAAAAUAAUUUGAAAAUUCAAGUAACUAACAUUAAACAAAUAAAGGAGAUGAACAUUUCCAUACAUAGUUUAGCAAACUGUAUUUUCAUGUUUUUAUUAACAAGAAACUUAGAUCUAAUGGGAAGGGGCCUGACAACAAAACUUAAAUACACUUCUAUGAGGAAUUUACUAAAGCCAGUCUGGUUACAUGGUCUUGGGAAUGAAAGACAUUUGCAGGAACACUUAUGUUUUCUGAGAAAGACUCUCAUGUUGUAUUUCGAGUUGCUCAUCCACCACCCAAUAACUUUGUUAGGACUGGUUUUCUUUUGAUAAGAUAAAGAUCCUUUUUGACAUCAUAUCUCAGCCCUCCCUCAUAUAUUGAGUCUCCUCAAUGAAAACAUCAAAAAUAUUCACAAACUUUCUAUGUGGCAGACAUGACGCUAAACCUGAGAUGUAUGUCUGGAUUGCAGCAACUGAGGUCUUUUGGGAGGAAGAGAAAAAGAGCCUCAUGUUCCCACCCUGAGUGUUUCCUCCACAAGGAAUUCAUGCCUUUAUGUAACCUGUGAAUCAGCCCCACCCUGCCCAGCCUUGAGUUUCUGCAGUACAGGAAGGCUGGUUCCUGGGGAAACAGACCUGGCUCCUCCGUCACCCUGCUUCAUAGAAGGAAGGCCCAGAGACACCUCCACUGAGGCUUUCUCAGCAUUUGCCCUCCCCCACAAACAGUGUGUGUGGCCUGGUUCACUACUUAGCAAAUAAAGACACUGAAAUUCAGCUCCAUCCUGUGACUCUGUGUAAAUCAAAACUGGGUCAUAAGCGCUGCCUCCUAUAAAAAGCAAUAGGUCAAGAAAACCAUUUCAUAACUUAAUGUGAAGAAAUAGGCUCACGUUACCAUGGCAUUUAUGAGAAAGGGGAACAGAAAGAAAACAGCAUAAAAAGUGCAAGGCAAAAUUCUGGUUAAAAGGGAAGAGAUUUUUAUAGGAAAGAUUAGGUAUUUGGCAUUUUUGCCUAAGAGAAGGAAGCACCAGACCUCAUCUGCAUGAACGCUCCUGAGGGGGUGUACUCCCCCAGGGCCUAUCACAGUUUGCAGGGGCAAACAUCUUACCUGCGCACAUUCCAUUAGGAGAAAUGAAGAGUGCAGUGUGUAAGAAAGGACUUUUAUUUCCAGCCUUGCAGAAGCACAGGUGUACCACAUGACUGGGCAGGGCAGAGCUUUUGCAAAUUGAUGAGAUGCUUAUGGAAGCCAUUAAAUGAGUAAUGCAAAGUAGCUAGAGAGUGGUGGAUCCUAUAGCCCAAAAAGCAGAAAAUGCGUCCAAAUCCAACUUUAUAAAACUCUAUGUAUGACAGAUGCCUACCUUGAUCCUUGGAGUACAUACUUUUCUGCAGAGGGGGGUGAAUGGGUUUGAACUUUACAGAACAAGGUGAAAAGUAGCCUGCUUGCCUCUCACACCAGACCUUUCUAGGUGUAUCUAACCUCCAGGACUCUUAGAAUCCUGGGCUCCAGAGAACUCCGUGCACUGAGUUGCUUGCCUGCCCCCAUAGAGAGAAGGCUAUAUGCUGGCACUGCCCGUGCCAUCCUACAAGUGCACUAAUCUUAAGUCCUGCUGGUAGCCAGUACUCCAUGACUUAUUCUGCACAGGCUCAGCCACUACCCUCACUGAUUCUGCCUUGCAAGCAGUAUCAUCUUAGGGGACAUUCAGAUGCACUCUCUGCUGUGAGUAAGGCUCCUCCAGCCCCAGUUACUGCACAUCAGUUUGUGACUAGUGUCAGAAGGCUCAGGCAGAAGAGCAUCUAUGAAUCUUAGCUCUUGUUCUAGACCUCAAGCUACAUCUUGCUCUUUAUUGCACCCUCCCUAAAACUCUGGUCUGUUGGGGUAGUUUUGGUUUUCUUCUUUUGUUUCUGAAUGUCUUCUUAGUCCUUCUGUGAAUCCCCCAUGAGCUGCUUUUCCUCUAACUACCUUGUAAACAUUGUGGUUCCUUGGGGUUCCGCCCUUGGUCCACAGAUAUUCUGCAGACUCUCCCUGCAUGAGAGGAAGAGAAAUCAUGAGGCUGUAUAAGAAGGGGAAAAAUUAGUUUCCAGGAAGAUGGAGGGCUAACAAGAACCAAAGCUCAUAAUAGGAAAUCUGGCAGAUGGUGUGAGAAGAAAAGGCAUGUGCUUCCUAGAAGCAGCAUAGCAAUCAGGAACAUGAGGCUGUGCAUCACAGUGCCUCUUAUAAAGUUAUACUUACAAUGUUAUCAUGGAUCGAGUUACUAUCCAUGACAAGCAUUUUAUAUGCGGUUUUAUGCAUCAUCACAUCAUCAUGUAAUUACCAAUUCAGCUCUAUCAGACAUUAUCCCUGCUUCCCUGUACAGAGGAAUCAGAGAAAUCCUUUGGAGGUCAAGAAAUUUUACUAAGGCCCUUGGGUUCAGAGGAUGAGUGGGAUUCAGAUCAUGGCCUGGCUAAAUCCAAGGCUGACUCUCCAUAUCACACCACGACAGUACUUCUAAUAGUAAGAAUUAAUCUUUCUGCCUCGGCAGGUGCACUCUCUAGUGAGUGAUACCUCUGUGGUCCUAGGGCACUCCAGCAUUCAGAUUUGGGUGCAGCAUUAGUAACUGUGAAAGGAGGCAAGUUUUGUCCUUCUCAUGCUUUUACCAGUAUAUCCUCUCCUAUCCAUAGUCAAGUUCCCUUACGCUGCUCUAGUGAAAAGAGUGGGUAACAUUACUGGUCAAAAUAUAGACCUCUCAUUGGGCCAGGAUUUAGAAGUGACUUGCUUAACUCUACUCUGAAAUUUGAUAAACUCUGAUUCAGUUUCUCUUUUGCAGUCCUGAUUCCAUGUGAUAAAUUUAUCUGAGAAUGGCUUGCUAUCUAGAUUUGGGAAAAAGUUAUGAAAAGCUUGAGCCUAAGCAGUGUCUGCUUAGCCCAGAGAGAAAUUUGUUUGGCCUUGGGCAUUGUUUCUCAUCCUUGUAGACUUUUGGUGGGUAAAAAUGCCAGGAGAGAUGGGAGGUGGUGAGAGUCUCAAAAGCCUAAGAAGGUCUAAGAAUGUUGAUGCUCAGUUAUCAUAUGUAAUUAAAUGGCAGCAUGAGUUUAUACACAUGGAAAUAAAGCCAGCUAAAGUUGAUAGUAAAGAGAAAUUUUAAGCUGUCUCAUUAUGGGUUUUCAUGAUGCUGAUAUGAGAGAUGUCACGUUAUUUUUGAGGACACACAACCCCACCCCACCCCACACACAAUUCUUCUACCUUCCUGGGGCACGUUCCUUUGUGCUGCCUCUCUGCAUCGGAAAUUGCUAACCGCUUCCUCUGCCAACAGGGAAGAAAGCAAGGUUGGCAGGUAUGGUGGUUUUUGCUAUCUUCCUUCAGCUGCUCCAAAGCUAGCAAGGGCCUGCUGAGCUUCCUGCACGGUCACAAAUUAGCAUCACCCAACUUUGAGGCAGCUGAGAUACAGGGGAACCUGGGAAGGGAGGCACAAUGCCUCUGCCAUGCAUCCAGGAGCUCUGGCUUACCUGGGGCAGAGGCCCUCUGAAGGAAAAGUCAGGGUAAAAGCAUCCACCUGAGACAAGGAGAGCAGCCUGCCAUGAACACUGGGCUGUCUGCACCCAGAGUUUCAAUGCAGCACAGCUAAGUCCAGACAAUCACACAAAAGAGCAGCUCCUUUGAAAAUUAUAAUACGUACAACACCAAAAAAAAGGCCUUCUGAAAACAGAAUUCUGUAAGGACUCUUGUGACCUGGUUUUAUCUGCCUUAGCACCAGGGUUUUGAUAGGUAAGUAGAAUUCAUGCAUUUCCAUGUAACCCAUGUUAAAUGGACAGUUUUAAAUGACCAAGAAGCAAUUGAUAGAAAAAUUCCAUUUUCAGAGUAGAUGACCAAAAACAGGUUUGAUGAUAGAUGACAUCUCAAAUAAAUAAACAACAAAUGAAUAAAACAAUAGUUGAGAAAGGAGAGGGUGGAGAAUAUAUGCACAGAGGAUUUCUCUGGAUAAAAUGGCGCUCCACUUCCACGGCCCAAGGAAGUGGAUUUGGGAAGAGGGCUGUUUAUUCUCUCACCUCAAGCCUGAGGAGAGAGUGUUCAAAGCAAACAACUGGCAGAGUUUGAGUCAUGCUCCCUGGAGUUUGGGGUGUACAUUAGGGUAUCGGUGUAAGCCUGGGAACGUCCAGGGGAGAGGCUGGCUAAUGGCCAGUCAGCGGAGCAGAAGGCGGUAUUUGCGCUGUAGUUACACAAGACCUGAGCUGUUAUAACAAACUACCAUGAGUUUGGCUGCUUUAAAAAACCCAUUCUCUCAUAGUUUUGGAAGCCAGAAAUCCACAAUCAAAGUGUCAGCUGGGCUGUGCUCUCACAAAGGCGCUAGGGAGACACCUGUGCCUCCUCCAUUUUCAAGCAACUCUAGGUGCUCCUUGGCUCGUGACUGCCUAACCCUGCCUCAGUCAUCACAGGACCUUCUCCUCUGGUUUCCUUCUCCCUCUACUUUUCUCUUCUGAGGACCCACUUGAAUAACCCAGGACAACCACUUCCCGAGAUUCUUAUUUU
rnacentral:lncRNA from 1 species